AAAGAAUAAGUGCACUUGAGUAUAACAAUGGCUGGGUGAGGCCAGUAUAAAUGUCUAUUCUGCACAAGGUACAGACAAGUCUGGUGGGAUCCAUGCCUGGUUCAAUUUAAUAAAUGUGAGCUUGUCCACAUUGGCCGUGGACAGAUGGCUGCGCUUAUCUGUGAUAACCUCGUGUCUGUGAUAACCUCGACAACGCAUUCGGAUGUCUGCCCUAUCAACUUUCGAUGCUAUUUUCCGCGCCUACCAUGGUGACCACUGGUAACGGGGAAUCAGGGUUCGAUUCCAGAGAGGGAGCCUGAGAAACGGCUACCACAUGCAAGGAAGGCAGCAGACGCGCAAAUUACCCACUCCCGACGCAGCGAGGUAGUGAC